rnacentral:tRNA from 1 species
GCCCCUGUGGCGGAAUGGUAGACGCAGCAGACUCAAAAUCUGUCGCCUUUACGGGCGUGCUGGUUCAAGUCCGGCCAGGGGCACCA